rfam:Stegodyphus mimosarum contig21154, whole genome shotgun sequence.
GCCUUCGUGGUGUAGUGGUCAGCACACUUGGCGCCUAUUCCAGAGGUCUGUGGUUCGAGUCCUGGCGAGGGCA